ACGCUCGACACCUACGGGAGGCGGCAGUGAGGAAUAUUGGUCAAUGGGCGCUAGCCUGAACCAGCCAAGUAGCGUGAAGGAUGAAGGCUCUAUGGGUCGUAAACUUCUUUUAUAUAAGAAUAAAGUGCAGUAUGUAUACUGUUUUGUAUGUAUUAUAUGAAUAAGGAUCGGCUAACUCCGUACCAGCAGCCGCGGUAAUCUGAGCGGGCUGGCAAGGC
rnacentral:rRNA from 1 species